UUGUUGAUCCUGUCAAUAGUCAUUUACUUGUCCCAUCGAUUAAGCCAUGCAUGUGUAAGUAUAAAUUAAUUUAGAUUGUGAAACAACUAAUGACUCAUUAAAUCAGUUAUAAUUUGUUUGAUGGUACUUGCUACUCAGAUAACCAUAGUAAUUCUAGAGCUAAUACGUAAAACAAACUUUGACUUCUUGAAGGGAUUAAUUUAUUAGAUAAAAGGUCGACGCGGGCUCUGCUCGUUGCUGCGAUGAUUCAUGAUAACUCAAAGGAUUGCAUGGUCCUCGUGCCGACGAAUCGUUCAAAUUUUUGCACUAUCAACUUUCGAUGGUAGGAUAGUGGCCUACUAUAAUGGUGACGGAUAACGAAAAAUGAGGGUUCAAUUCCAAAGAGGGAGCCUGAGAAACGGCUAUCACAUCCAAGGAAGGCAGCAGGAGCGCAAAUUACCCAAUCAUGACACGGGGAGAUAGUGACAAUAAAUAACAAUACCGGACUCUCAAAGUCCGAUAAUUGGAAUGAGUACAAUCUAAAUCCCUUAACGAGGAUCAAUUGGAGGGUAAGUUUGGUGCCAACAGCCAUGGUAAUUCCAGCUCCAAUAGCAUAUAUU
rnacentral:rRNA from 1 species